UACGUAGGGGGCAAGCGUUGUCCGGAUUUAUUGGGCGUAAAGAGCGUGUAGGCGGCCAGACAGGUCCGUUGUGAAAACUCGAGGCUCAACCUCGAGACGUCGAUGGAAACCGCAUGGCUAGAGUCCGGAAGAGGAGAGUGGAAUUCCUGGUGUAGCGGUGAAAUGCGCAGAUAUCAGGAAGAACACCCGUGGCGAAGGCGGCUCUCUGGGACGGUACUGACGCUGAGACGCGAAAGCGUGGGGAGCGAACAGG
rnacentral:rRNA from 1 species